GGUGAAGCACAAAGGGCACCCGGUGGAUGCCUACGCACCAAAUGGCGAUGAAGGACGUGGCGAACUGCGAUAAGCCUCGGCGAGCUGUAACGCGAGCUUCGACCCGGGGAUUU
rnacentral:rRNA from 1 species